rnacentral:lncRNA from 1 species
AGCAUAGCAAAUUCAUAAGGAGUCUUUUCUUCAAAGAACGGAAAUGACUCUGAAGUCUGACUAAACUCACAGUGUCCUUGUGAGGGAGAUGGGAAGAGGCAGAGUAUUUUGCCCCAUUUCAAGUUCAAGAAAGCAAAGAACACAAAAGUUAAGUGGCUGGUGUUCAUUUAUUCAAGUAAAUUUAUUCAGGAGUCGAGCCAGAAACAAAGAUCAAGUCUCCUGGCCCAUGUACUAGGCCCCAUGCUGCCUCACAGCUUUCAAAACCUUCAUUUUCCUGGAAAAAGCUGAAAAGCUUUCCCCUACCAUACAUACUAGAUUCAGACACACUGCCAUCUACUGACCCACCGGAGGAUGUACCAGCUGAGACAUCCUGAGCUUCAAGGGAAAGAGGAACACCUUGAGAGGGGUUGAGAUCCUGCUUUCCCUGCAGAAUGCCCUCUCCAGGAUGCUCAUGGGCCGUGUCUACAGUACUAUGUAGGAACGUGCUGCAAGAGAAACUACAUGAAGAGAUUACAGGAUGCAAAAUGCUUUCUCCUGAGAGCAAACCCUGAAACCUACAGCUCCGAGGUCUGUUGUCCAGUGAUUGGAUACAAGCUGGAAUGUCCUAGCAGAUCUAUUGUGGCAAAGAUGUGUAAAAUCCCUCUACAUGGCAUUCUGCAUAAGAUUUGUGGAGAAAAUACGGGGAACUGCUCACUGGGGAUGCUAUGCUUUGUUUGCCUGUCCCAUGAAAGCUACACCUAGAGGCAUUUACGAACUCUAAGCUAGGGCCCAAAGCAAAUAAUUAUAGCACUAAACAAUCCACCCCUCAAAGCAUAUAUUUUUCUCUAAUUUUUUGUUGUUUAUGAAGUUUCACAUAAGAUAAUCACAUUACAUUAAUUAUGAUGUAAACCUUUGAUUAGAGAGCUUUGGAGAAAUUCCUCAGAAGAUCAAUCUUUCAAAUAAAAAUAAAUAUGUCAGUCUCAGGUAUUAGUAUCAUUGAAAUAAUGGCCAUUUCUUUAUUUAUAUAGAUGCUGUUAUGUUAUUUAGUAUUAUCUUGGUCCUUUUAUUUAAAUAAAUUCUUUGGUUCUCUAACUAUUAAUGAUUCACUUUCUUUUAGAAGUUAUAUAAUUCAUUCUAUCCCCCAGCUUCAGAUUAUCUUGUUAUAACAUCCAGCAUCUAAUUUCCAAUUUUGCAAUCACACUCUUUCAACUCCCAUCCUGCCCAGUGGAGAUAUAUGGGAAGGGGUAAGAGGAUGCUGUGGUCUGGGGGAUGCUGAUUUCCUGGCUUGGUUUUGCCACCUGCUACCUACAUGUACCCUUUCUGAGGCUCAGUUGUGACUUGUGUAAUUGGGUUUGGUUACACUUCACAGAGUUAUAAGGCUAAAAGAGAUGGUACUUUGAAUACUGCUUUGUAAAAUUCUGUGAAAGCAAAAGCCAAGGACUUAUUAAGGCUCUUCAUGUCAAUGCCCGUUCAAUGGCUGUAUCUGUUACCUCAUUUUUGGUGACAUUGUCUUAAUAUUGAAAGCCCGUUAUUAUUAAAUUAGUAUAAGGAAGAAACUUCAUAAAAUGAAGAUAUGGAUUUCAUAUUCAGAAAAGUUUAAAAACUGCCAUUGCUUACUCCCUACCCAUAAAUAUGCUCCAGUCGAAACCAUAAAAUGAAUUUUUUACUCCCUGUUAGGAAGUAUCAGCUUUAGGAAGGAUCAUCUUCUGGAAGAAUGAUUUUUCCUCAAAGAAACCAAAGUUCAUUUCUGUUCAGGAAUAGGGUGAUAUAUUUACAUAUGCAAACAAAUGCUAUAUUUCUUUGUGAUCCAAAGGACUUACACUCUAAUGGUGAGUAGGGCAGAUUUUUAAAGUGUGGGUGAAGGGUCCACCUAGUGCACAGUGAGCUGUAGGACAUGGGUGAAAUAGAUUUCAUCUCCCUGUGCACAUUAAAGUGGACAUUCACAAUGUGUAUAAAGGAGCUAUAGAGAAAUGCUUUUCCUCUUGCUUAUUUCCUGUUUCAUUUCUAUGAUCUAUGAAACAGGAAAGCUAAAUGCUGCACCCAUUGAUAGGUGCAUUCGACUGUGGUAGCAUUCCCUGAGGCCAGCUGGUAGCUAACCUGGUAUUCAGCCAAUUGUGUCAUUUUAUAUCUAUGCACAGGAUCAAGGUCAGCAGCAUAUUGCAGAUGACCUCUUAUGUGGACUAAUGUUUAUCAGCUGACUUUGGAAACCAUAACCAAGCUAUCCUUCAUUAAGUGCGCUUUCCUUAAGCAGUGCAGCAUAAAGUGGGUUUGAACAGAACUAGACCUCUUACGUAACCUGCUUGUUUUCACUGAAGAUUGGCAACAGGUCAAAAAAGGCAUCGGGCAAGUUCCCACGCAGUUCAGCUUGUUUAUUAACAGUAAGAGACGAGUUAUAUGAUGUUAUCCAAUGAUACCAUCCCCUAAAACA